rnacentral:hammerhead_ribozyme from 1 species
AUCAAGCCGAUGAGUCCAAAACAGAACGAAACGCGCGUCCUGGAU